rnacentral:rRNA from 1 species
GGCGAGUGAAGCGGCAAAAGCUCAAAUUUGAAAUCUGCGCAAGCCGAAUUGUAAUUUGAAGAAGCGACUUUGGACCUGGCUCUUGUCUAUGUUCCUUGGAACAGGACGUCACAGAGGGUGAGAAUCCCGUGCGAUGAGAUGCCCAGGGCCGUGUAAAGCGUUUUCGACGAGUCGAGUUGUUUGGGAAUGCAGCUCUAAGUGGGUGGUAAAUUCCAUCUAAAGCUAAAUAUUGGCGAGAGACCGAUAGCGAACAAGUACAGUGAUGGAAAGAUGAAAAGAACUUUGAAAAGAGAGUGAAAAAGUACGUGAAAUUGUUGAAAGGGAAGGGCUUGAGAUCAGACUUUGACUUUGCAUGGUGUCCUCUCGGGGGCGCCCUCUGCGUUUUCAGGGCCAGCAUGGGUUUUGCGGGCGAGACAAGUGCGCGGGAACGUGGCUUUCGAGUGUUAUAGCCCGCGCAGAUGUCGCCACGCGAGACCGAGGACUGCGGUACUAGGAUGCUGGCAUAAUGAUCCCAAGCCGCC